GACGAACGCUGGCGGCGUGCUUAACACAUGCAAGUCGCACGGGACCCGCAAGGGUUCAGUGGCAAACGGGUGCGUAACGCGUGAGGAACCUGUCCAACGGUGGGGGAUAGCCGGCCCAACGGCCGGGUAAUACCGCGUACGACCUUCGGGGGGCAUCCCCCGGGGGUGAAAGCAGCAAUGCGCCGAUGGAGGGCCUCGCGGCCUAUCAGCUAGUUGGUGAGGUCAUGGCUCACCAAGGCAACGACGGGUAGCUGGUCCGAGGGGAUGACCAGCCACAUUGGGACGGAGACACGGCCCCGACGCCUACGGGAGGCAGCAGUGGGGAAUCUUGCGCAAUGGGCGAAAGCCUGACGCAGCGACGCCGCGUGUGGGAUGAAGGUCUUCGGAUUGUAAACCACUGUCGGGAGGGACGAAGCUCUGACGGUACCUCCAAAGGAAGCACCGGCUAACUCUGUGCCAGCCGCCGCGGUAA
rnacentral:rRNA from 1 species